CCAAUAGCGUAUAUUAAAGUUGUUGCAGUUAAAAAGCUCGUAGUUGAAUUUCGGGAUCAAUAUAUCGGUCGUGCCUUCGGUACGUACUGGUAUCAUUGGUUUCUCCUUUCUGACGAACCAUGAUGUCAUUAAUUUGGUGUUAUGGGGAGUUAGGACUGUUACUUUGAAAAAAUUAGAGUGUUUAAAGCAGGCUUUAGCUUGAAUACAUUAGCAUGGAAUAAUGAAAUAGGACGUUCGAACCUAUUUUGUUGGUUUCUAGGAUCAACGUAAUGAUUAAUAGGGAUAGUUGGGGGCAUUAGUAUUCAAUUGUCAGAGGUGAAAUUCUUGGAUUUAUUGAAGACUAACUACUGCGAAAGCAUUUGCCAAGGAUGUUUUCAUUAAUCAAGAACGAAAGUUAGGGGAUCGAAGACGAUCAGAUACCGUCGUAGUCUUAACCAUAAACUAUGCCGACUAGGGAUCGGAUGAUGUUAAUUUUUUAAUGACUCAUUCAGCGCCUUACG
rnacentral:rRNA from 1 species